rnacentral:misc_RNA from 1 species
AUCGACCACUGAGUCGGGAAGUUUAGUCAGUAUAUCCCUAUCAGUUGGAGGAGAAGCAGGAUGGCUUUCUGACGCUGAGGUGAUACAGUGUUCAUAGUCUUCGUCCUACACGUCUGCCUACUCGUGGUCCACUAAGAAAGGCAAAGACUGUGAUGGUAUUGGCAACACAACAGCCAACGUCCACAACGUGAGCCCAGUCACUCAGUCUACAGCUAGCACCUGGUGGAGUAGGAGGUGGUGAGCGUAUUUUCAAGAUAUUUCGUCCAGGUGGGCGUUCUGAAGCACGUAAUUAAGGUCUCUUCUGCGAUCUGUGGUGUUCCACAAGUGACGGCUAGAAGGGCUGCUCUACAAGCAACCACCCUCUUCCUCCCAUUUUUGCUGAUUGGCUCUCCUGGUGUGGGUUGUCACCACAUUGGGUAAGUUGGUCAGCUACUCACCACUAUCCUUGAGAAGAAUCUGUUUGUUUAAUGCGGGUUGUCACCGCAUUGAAGGAAUAGAAAACUUCAUCCCAUACACCUGACCCAAGGGUCAGUUGAUAAACCAGGUAAAUUCUCCAACUGAAUACUUCAUUUCAAAGCACCGAGAUGGUUGCUUCAUAUAAAACUGGGAAUCCUGUGCGUUCAUUUGUUCGUGUGCCAGGAAGUGGGACAGACAAGAAGGCAAAGUCUCUAUGCUGGGACCUUUCACGCUCCUCAACAGUUGCUGCAGCUGUCCAAGUUGAACCAACACUUCCAUCAGCAAUCACAAUAACAACAUUGAUAAAGUCAUCAGAAUCCACCAAGGAAGAUGGCAAAACUGGUUAUGAGGACGAAGUGACUGUUGCUCAGCCUGCCAGUCAAACUGAGGAAUUAAGGCAUAAUCAAUCGGAAGAUGAUUCAAGACCAGCAGAUGUUGCCAAGGCAGCUGGCAAUGAAAUUCAAGGAGCUGUGGCACAGACGACAACCCCCACUGCAGUAUCAUCGCAGUCAGAUGACAAUUCAGAUGUUAAGUCUGGAGGGAGAAAUGAUAGAUCAGAGGUAAACACACGCAAAAGGCCAUACACAGUGGAGCCUGAAGAAGGAGACCAAAAUGAAUCGAGUAGCAGUGAGCCUCGAGCAAAGUUUGCCUGUGUGUGUGGAAAAACAAGAGAAAGCAGUUCCGUGGACGAUCCUACCACGGUUAUGUCGCCAAAAAUCCAAGAAACAAAGGUAAAAGAGUCUGUUUCAGCGGAGGUAUCCAAGCUAGCACAAGAGCUUGAGCAAGUGAGACAACAAAAUCAAGAGCUCCAGAAGCGAUUGAAACUAUUUCAUGAGCUGUUCAACGACAAAAAGCGAUUGGCUCUGGUGGUAAAACAUUUGGGUGUAUCAGUCAACUAAAAAUGAAUAAACAUGUUGUUAUUAAACAUGUUAUGCUACCUUUCUAAUAGAAACUUAAGAGCAGGACACAUGGUUUCACAUUAAUGAUUUAUGAAUCUUCUAGUGACAUUUGUAACAAUGAUUAAAAUUAAAUUUAUGAUUUUUUUUUUUUUACUUUUGGAGUUGUACAGUGUGUCUCAGGUUGUGCACCUUAGCUUUAUUAGUUCCUUUUUAUGCUUUUCCGUGUGAAGGAAUGGUAGCAUAUCUAUUGAGAUAUACAGCACUAACUCCUGAGUAAGAAAUUGAGAGGUGUGAGGUCUGGGGACCUUGGUGGCCAUUUGAUUAAUCCUUGUUGCUCAAUUUUCAUUAAAUUGUUAAAAUUUCCUCACCCAAAUAAGAACAUUAAUUUUCUUAUGGGAUGUGGACAAAUAGAAACCCAGUAGAAAAGGUUCCUUGUGGGUCACAUUGGCUUCAUCAGUCCACACCCUUGGAUAAUGAACUAAACUUGGGUACUGUGAGGAAUUGUGCAUUUUUUCUUGCCAUGUCAGGGGACACUGAAGAUGAGGCAUUGUUUACACAGCAUUAAUUGGUGUAAAGUUGAUUUUAGUAAAACCAGUACCGGUACUGUACAGUACUUGUGAUGAUCACCAAUUACAGUAUCAUAAAAAUCGUGAGUUAAUAAUAAAGACUCUGUAUCUAAUUAUUGGUUAGUGUAUUGAGAUAUACUCUACUGUAAGAAAAAUACAAGUUGUUUUCCUUCAAGCACUAUGGGUAUUAAAUUCAUGUAACUAUUAAGAUACUGUACCAGGAUGGUCGCCCGAUGCAGCAAUGUAUAAAAUGUUAAGCAUUCUCAGUGAUCCAUGGAGAAGCCAUUGUUAACCUAUUUCCUUUCCUAUUUUUGUUGAAUAGCCUUGGUAUUCUGUAGUCCUAAACAAUAAACAAAGCCAUACUGUAUUGAUGAUAUCCAUUUAAUGUUUUCCCAAGUAAAAUCAUAAACUUAGAUUGAGAAUUUUGCCCCCUUAUACCGAAUUAUUAUAAUUUUAUUCAAGUGUUUAGGUUUCUUCCUCCUUCUAGUCGUUCAUAUAAGUUUGAGUACAAAGAAAGACAAAAGUCGUGUCAUGAAAUUUGGUGAAAACAUGUGCCAAAGGGCUAAACUUUUGGUUUGCUCUGCCUUGUGGUAGGGGGCUCUCAUAAUGUUUCACGAGUUAUAUUUAAUCUUCGGAUAAAACCGCGACACAACUUUUGUCUUUGAUUGUACAGGUACACUUAUAUUUCCGACAUUUAUUAUGGUAUGAAGGCAAACUUCCAUUUAUUGUAUCACUUCAUUAACUAAUAAGAGAUUACUUGGUGAUUAAAUGGAUCAGAAUCCAAAAACAGAACAUAGGAAUAUUAUACAUGGUGCCUCAUAGGUUACUUGCCUUAUGAAAAUAACUGUUCCUCUUUUAUUCAGGUGAGGCAAUCAUAAAUCAACAAUGAUGCCAUAUUUAUGUUGACACUAAAGGGAAGUCGCCUUGAUAUUCAUGUAUGGAAUGUUAACGGACUCUUUCCUCUCGUUAAUUUUUGUCGUCCUUGUUGAUAUAAUGGGAUCUUCUCCCCUGAAAAAUUAAUAAAAGGAAAUGUGACCCGUGAGACUCCUUAUAUUGUACAGUACUGUAAUAUUUAUAUUUUUUUUUCGAAACAUUUUGCUUGCUCAGCGUUCUUUUCUUUAAGGCAUUGGUGCUACCCAAAUACUUAGAAUGAAAAAGAUUUGAUUAUAUUUUGACAAAUUAAAAAGUUUUGAAAAUGGGCUUCAUGAAGUUGAUGGAAACCUUUAUGAUAAUAGGAAGUAACAUAGGAAUCAGUAUCUUUACAGUUGGCUUUUUAGUUAGAUAAAGAUGUUAAAAGAUAGGAUGGCCUCAAGCUAAAUAUCCCAGUGCUUAAAUGUUUGGCUGAUUUUGUAUUACAUUACUUUCUUUUAGCAAGGAACUAUUUUUUUGUGUCAUAUAUGUCACCGAUGAUUCCAUGUGGCGAGGAGUCGGUUAUCCAGUGUGGCGAGGUGCCAGUGUUCUAUAAUGAUUUGUCAUUAAAUCCAUGUGGCUAGGUGCCAGUUAUCCAGUGUGGCGAGGUGCCAGUUAUCCAAUGUGGCGAGGUGCCAGUUAUCCAGUGUGGCGAGGUGCCAGUGUUCUAUUAUGAUUUGUGUCAUUAAAUCCAUGUGGCGAGGUGCCAGUUAUCCAGUGUGGCGAGGUGCCAGUUUUUUCUGUGAAUGUUGUGGGUGCAUCACCCAGGGCAUUAUUAUACACUUGUUCAUUACAUCUAUUCUGUAUUAGGUUUUGUAAUUUAUUAUGGAAAAGAAUAUACCACAAAUAUUUAUGAACUGAUAAUACUAUUAACUUAUCAUAACUGCAAAAAUUUAUAUUGAUAUUUGGUUAAGACAGAAGUUUUAUUUUGUUAUGUUUUGUGGUGUAUUUAAUUUUUGCUUUGUUAGUUAUUAUAAGUUGAAGGAGUCUGCCUGUGGUCCAGUCAGUUCCCUCAUCCAUCGAAUUUACCGUGGCCGAAGGACAUUUGGCCGACGGACAGUUGAUUUAUUUUUUAUUUUUCUUUCUUCUUUGCAAUGUAUUUUUUGCACAUUUACUAAAGGAUAAAAGAUAUUUAUUGUAAUGUAAAUGCUUCUUUGCAAUGUAUUUGCUUUAUAAAACAAAGGAUAAAAAGAUGACAAUUUCAAUGUGAUACAUUUGCAUGAUAUAGUUUUUUUUUAUGUUACUUUUAAGACCAUGGAAUUCAUACCAACGACAAGAGGAGGAAGAUGGCAUUUGCUUGAAGGCUACGCCUACAUCGUUGAUAAACGGAAAGACAAUGUAAUAUAUUGGCGAUGUGAAUGCAAAGGAAGUUGUUGGGGACGAUUGAAAACAGAAGACGACGUUAUUCAAGGAGAAGCAAGUAAUCACUCACGUCCUCCUGAUGCUGGACGUAACCUGUCCUUGAAAACAGUAAAGAAAAUUAAAGAAAGAGCCUGACAGUUGGGAGGAAGUGACAUCGACUAUUAUACAAAACUGCACCAGUGAGUACCCACUUGAUGCUGCAGGUGCUCUUCCUAUGAAAGAAACUCUGGCAAGAAUGGUGCACAGACAACGCAUGGCACCAGACGGGGACUUAUUAACUGACGACUUACGGAAAUCAAUUAGAGGAGAAGACUUUGUCAUCCAUUAAAGUGACAACCUGCUAAUUCUGUCAACACCUCGAAACUUACAGCUUCUUGCUUUCAAAGACCACUGGUCAACAACUUCCUUUGCGUUCACAUCGCCAAUAUAUUACAUUGUCUUUCCGUUUAUCAACGAUGUAGGCGUAGCCGUCAAGCAAAAGCCAUCUUCCUCCUCUUGUCGUUGGUAUGAAUUCCAUGGUCUUAAAAGUAACAUAAAAAAAAACUAUAUCAUGCAAAUGUAUCACAUUGAAAUUGUCAUCUUUUUAUCCUUUGUUUUAUAAAGCAAAUACAUUGCAAAGAAGCAUUUACAUUACAAUAAAUAUCUUUUAUCCUUUAGUAAAUGUGCAAAAAAAAAAUUGCAAAGAAGAAAGAAAAAUAAAAAAUAAAUAAAAAAUGCCAUAUGUCCAUUCAGCCAAAUGUCCGUUCGGCCAGAUGUCUGUUUGGUCAAAUGUCCGUCGGUGAAAUGUCCGUCGGCCAUCUGUCCGGGAGCCAAAUUUACACUUUAUUCGUUAAACUGCAGUUGAUAUUGUUCUCAAGUCGUAGGUGGCACUGACGAUGUUUGCCUUUUAUCAUAACUUGAUCCUGGCACUUAUUGAAUGUUGUACAGGUAACCUGCACUUUGAUACACAAUACUUUAAAACCUGUUGUACUUUCAGGGCUUCUCUUAUGUAAUGUACAUGACUUUGGUUGUGAACAUCCUCAGUGUCAUUGACUUAAUUUGUAAGGAAAAAAUUAGUACUUGACUAGCAAAUGCCUUUUCUUCCAGCUGCUGCUUUCUUAUCUAGAACAAGAUGUUCACAGUAAAGCAUGAGGGUAAAAUUAGUUAUAAAAUUUAAUAAAAAAAAUGUUUACUGAAAAUAGUAUUUAAGCUUUUUCAGCAGUAUUAAAUAUCUUGGUAGCUGCUGUUCUAAGGAUAUAAUGAUAAUUGUAGUUGAAUGAAUGUAAUUAAUAUAUUGUAUACUGUACACCUUUGUAUGUUUUGUGCAUUAUAUACUUACUCCUCCAGCUAUUUAUGUAUGAUACAAGUGCCAGUCAUGUACAUUUUGGUGAAUAUAUCACUAAGUAAGUACAGCAGUUCUCUACUAGGUUGGAGUUUCCUUAAGCUGCGGUCACACGAGAGUUUCUCCCGGAAUAAAUCCACCAUAGGGAAAAUGUCAGAGUAAUGAAAAAUAAUAAAACUGUAAUAAGGGUAAAUCACGACAGGAAUUUCAUUUGACUCUGGGAGUACAGUACAGGGUACUUGCAUCACUUAUGUAUACAAAUAUUGCCUGGACGCUAGUCAUUUUAUAUAUAUAUGCAAGUAAAUCACUGUGGGUGCACGUGAUCCAGGUACAUAAUGAUAACCACAAGGAAAGAAGAAAACACGAAGUUCCCAAGCGCUUUCGUGCAAUUCACAUCUUGUUUAGCAGGACCACACAUCUCACUAAAGCGGUUAAUGCUGCCAUCCUGCUCUCCAACUGAGCUCAAACAUGCUGCAUGAGCUGGGCGCCUGGCUGAUGGUUCCUUUUGCCAGUGUGCGGAUCACACCAUUAACUUAUUGCCUGUGGAUAAACUGCUAUCAUGGAUAUCUUGCACGGAACACUAGUGUGACCGUUAAGCUACAGUCAUACUAGAGUUUUAAGAGUUUUCUGUGCAAUAAAUCCAUAAGUUAAUGGUGUGAUCCGCACACUGGCCAAAGGAACCAUCAGCCAGGCGCCCAGCUCAAGCAGCAUGUUUGAGCCCAGUUGGAGAGCAGGAUGGCAGCAUUAACGCUUUAGUGAGAUGUGUCGUCCUGUUAAACAAGACCAAAAUUGAAUAAAUAAAUAAAAUUGUAGCGUCCAGGCGAUGUUUAUAUUCAAAAGUGAAACAAGUACAGUACUGAUGAGUUGAAUGAAAUUCACGUCAUGAUGUAUUGUUCAUUUACCAUGACAUUUUUGCUCGUGUUUUGUUAUUGAUCUAAUACACUUUUUAUAUUUUUGUAUGUUUUGGCGUUAAAAAGAAAAAAAUAAUGUGGUGUAAAUUUAAUAAAUACAAUAUUCUCUACAACAAAUGUCAACCCACAGUACUGACGCUCAGUAUCGUCCCACUUUUGACAACAAAUAAGUUGUCUCUGAAAAAUCAACACUACGGUGGAUUUAUUCCGGGAGAAACUCGUGUGACCGCAGCUUUAUUAGCACUUUAUUUUAUGAUUUUUUAAUUUUGCCUCUGCUAAAUCAAUACAAAACCAAGUAUUGUACUGUAGUAUCAGAAAUAAUUACCCUAAGUUUAAACUACUGUAUAAGCCAAACUUAUUUGUUGAAAACUGUUGAAUGAGGUCAAGAAAGUUACAUUGUAUAUAUAUAACUAGACUUUCGUUUGAUCUCACAAAGUUGUGCACGUUUUGGUAUUGGUAAAACACGAUACCUUGAGACGUAUUUAUAUAGACUAUAGCACUUAAGAUUUUCUGGUUUACAAUGUUAAUACUUAAGUAUUGAGGUUAUGGUUUACAAUAUUAAUGCUUCCAUAAAGGAAUAUAUUAUGUAAAGGAUUGUUCUGUAGUUAUUAUUGCAAACUAAUACAGGUCCCUCAGAGUACGGUAAUGGAAACCUGUUGAGAUGAUGUCUGUAACAAGUACGGCAGACUGUACUGGACAAAAAUUUUUCUGUAAUCCCAUUAAGACAAAAAUAUUAGAAACUAGAAUUUGUGGAAAAAGUGCCACUACAUUCAUGUCAAUAUACUGUAGUAUAUUUGUUUUGUAUAUACAUAUACUGUAUAUUAAAUAAAAAUUUCACUAGUA